AAACGUAGGAGACAAACGUUAUCCGGAGUUACUGGGCGUAAAGGGCGUGUAGGUGGUUUUAUAAGUCUGGCGUGAAAUUUCAUCGGCUUAACCGAGGCAGGUCGUCGGAUACUAUGAGACUAGAGGACGGUAGAGGCGUGUGGAAUUCCGGGUGUAGUGGUGAAAUGCGUAGAGAUCCGGAGGAACACCAGUGGCGAAGGCGGACACGCUGGGCCGUACCUGACACUGAGUGCGCGACAGCAGUGGGAGCAAACGAGG
rnacentral:rRNA from 1 species